rnacentral:sRNA from 1 species
GUCAACUACCCCGGCCUGAAGGUCGGAGCUUGUGAAAGCAGGCUGGGUUGACCAGGGAAAGCGGUAUUAACCCGCUCCGUUUGCACCAGGUCGAACCGAAGCUGCGUAUUUCGCCUUGAAUGCAGAGACCCGAGCCAAAUGCCGUGCAGCCUGGAACGCCUGGGUAGGC